CGAGUCGGCCGGGCGGCCGCGUGCCGGACGCUUCGGCGUCCCGGCCCGAGGAACGUCCGGACUCCACCGGGCACGGUGCUGGGUAACACCCAGUCGGGGCGACCCGCAGGAAAGUGCCACAGAGAACAGACCGCCGAUGGCGGGACCGGUCUCCGGAGUGGUCUCGCACAGGUAAGGGUGAAACGGUGCGGUAAGAGCGCACCAGCGCCCGGGGUGACCCGGGCGGCUCGGCAAACCCCACCCGGAGCAAGGCCAUACAGGGGGAGGACGGCCCGUCCGUAGACACCCCCGGGUAGGCCGCUGGAGCCGGCGGGCAACCGCCGGCCGAGAGGGAUGGCCGCCUCGGGCGCGACCCGCUCCACGGAGCGGAGGCGCCUAGACAGAAUCCGGCGUACAGGCCGACUCGCCAC
rnacentral:RNase_P_RNA from 1 species